rnacentral:rRNA from 1 species
UACGUAGGGCGCGAGCGUUGUCCGGAAUUACUGGGCGUAAAGAGCUCGUAGGUGGUUUGUCGCGUCGUUCGUGAAAACUCACAGCUCAACUGUGGGCGUGCGGGCGAUACGGGCAGACUGGAGUACUGCAGGGGAGACUGGAAUUCCUGGUGUAGCGGUGGAAUGCGCAGAUAUCAGGAGGAACACCGGUGGCGAAGGCGGGUCUCUGGGCAGUAACUGACGCUGAGGAGCGAAAGCGUGGGGAGCGAACAGG